AGUGGGUGAGGUGAGAAAACAGGUUGGGGUCUAUGCACAGGAGGAGAUGGAGUUCUGUGUGAUCACACUCAUUGCUAUGGCUGUCAUAGGAGUCCAUUCCGAUGGGCACACUCUGCGGUAUUUUUACACAGGGGUCUCGGAUAAAGGAUCAGAUUUACCCGAGUUCUCAGCCGUUGGAUAUGUGGAUGACCGUGAAUUCAUUAAUUACAAUAGCGAGUCUCAUCUGGCUCGCCCUGUGACUCACUGGAUGGAGAAGAAUGAAGGCACUGAGUACUGGGACAGGCAGACACAGAACUUUAAAGGUGCUGAGCAUGUAUUCAGACACAAUGUCGGGACAGCGAUGAGCCGUUUCAACCAAACCGGAGGGAUCCAUAUUGUACAGGAGAUGUACGGCUGUGAGCUGAGAGAUGACGGCACCACUGAGGGGUAUGAGCAUCAUAGAUAUGAUGGGAGAGAUUUCAUGUAUCUGGACACACAGAGAGAGAUCUAUAUCCCGACCAUGAAUGAGGCUCAGAUCACCACACAGAGAUGGAACAGUCCGGAGAUGAGAGAGGGGGAGAGAAUCAAGAAUUAUCUGGAGAAUAUCUGUAUUACAGCACUGAAGAAAUACAUAGAGUACGGGAGAGAAGAUCUGGAGAGGAGAGUGCGUCCAGAGGUGAAGGUGUGGGGUCAUGAUCAGCAAGAUGAGAUAACAAGACUUCAGUGUCUGGUGUACGGGUUUCACCCCCGAAUUGUGGAAGUGAAGUGGAUGAGGAAUGGGACAGACCAUAUUCCUUCAGAUGAAAUGACUCCAAUUCUCCCCCAUCCUGAUGGCACCUAUCAGAUCAGAGUCAGUGUGGAAGUGCCAACAAAGGAAGCAGGCACUUACGUCUGUCAUGUGGUGCACAGCAGUCUGGAUGAUGAUCUCACUAAGAAAUAUGAACCUGACAAUGGCACCCAAUAUGCAAUGAUUAUUGGCAUUGUCUGUGCUGUUGUUGCCUUCAUCGCUGUCGCUGUUGGUGUUGGAAUCUAUUGCUACAAGAAGAAGGGAAAAGGUUACAAGACCACCAGUACUUCAGAUGCCAGUUCUGACUCCUCCAACCAGAAAGUCUGAAUGUACACAAUGGAGGAAAUCGCAGGAAGAGGAGCAGAUGAAUUUUCUUUCCAUUCACUUUCAGCCUAUUGCACUUGCUUCUGUCUGCUUUCAUUAAUACACCUAAUGUCAUGUAAUUUAAAGAGAACCUGUCAUGUAUUCAUAAAUUUGAAUAUAAAACCAGGGUGGUACAUCAAUUGUAUGAAGAUUGAGAGAAGUAUUUUCCCCAUAUUGAUCAAAUCAUCAUGGCUGACAAUGUGACUCCUAUAAAGGACUAUAAUAAAUAUUCAUAUACAGAUUUAAC